GUCUAUUUUUUUCUUAUACUGCAAAGCAUUCUGGUACCUCACUUGCCUUGUGUGUCAGAGACUUCAAAUGGUCACCAGUAGCUUUAUUGUCCUCAUCUCCAGGACAUAUGAUUUCUUUGUUCAUUUCCCCUGGCAAUUACAUAAAACCAGUGCUAAAGUCCUGGCCAGUGAAGCUGGAGUGGAAGGGAUAAGCAGCAAGUACAUCCAAGCCUAGCUCAUCAAAGCCCCCCAUGUCUGAUCCUAGCAUUUUUACUGCAUCACUGGAUAAAUAAAGAGAACUGGAAGACCUGCAUGAGAGGCAAGAGGCAAGGAUCUGGGUGCCCAAGUGACUUUAUGGAUCAGAGACCAUCCACAGACCUACACUUCCAUGUCAAGCGAGAAGCAAGUUCUAUUUUGAGGGGGCAUGGAUUCAGUGCGUGGCUGAGGAACUAAGAUCCCGCAUGGUGUGGCAAAAAACAAACAAACCAACGGAGCAACAACAGUAACAAAUCAUAUCUGUGGUAUGAUUCAAUCCUGGUAGAGGAUGUGAUGUCACUUGCAGAAAACAUGGGACAAGCUCGACGUAAAAUCUGAGCGCCUCAGUUUUGAUCAUAGAAAGGUGAUCUUAAAGUGCUUUUCCCCCAG
ensembl:lncRNA